UACGUAGGGGCCGAGCGUUGUCCGGAGUUAUUGGGCGUAAAGCGCGCGCAGGCGGCUUGGCGCGCCCGACGUGAAAGCCCCCGGCUUAACCGGGGAGGGUCGUCGGGUACGGCCAGGCUUGAGGGCGGGAGAGGGUGGUGGAAUUCCCGGUGUAGUGGUGAAAUGCGUAGAGAUCGGGUGGAACACCAGUGGCGAAGGCGGCAUGCUGGCGCAUUCCUGACACUGAGGCGCGAGAGCGUGGGGAGCAAACGGG
rnacentral:rRNA from 1 species